CCUACGGGUGGCAGCAGUGGGGGAUAUUGCACAAUGUGGGAAACCCUGAUGCAGCGACGCCGCGUGGGUGAAGAAGCGCCUCGGCGCGUAAAGCCCUGUCAGCAGGGAAGAAAAUGACGGUACCUGAAGACGAAGCCCCGGCUAACUACGUGCCAGCAGCCGCGGUAAUACGUAGGGGGCAAGCGGUAUCAGGAUUUACGUGGUGUAAAGGGGGCGCAGACGGCGAUGCAAGCCAGGAGUGAACGCCCGGGGCCCAACCCCGGGACUGCUCUUGGAACUGCGUGGCUAGAGUGCAGGAGGGGCAGGCGGAAUGCCUGGUGGAGCGGUGAAAUGCGUAGAUAUCAGGAGGAACACCGGUGGCGAAGGCGGCCUGCUGGACUGCAACUGACGUUGAGGCCCGAAAGCGUGGGGAGCAAACAGGAUUAGAUACCCGGGUAGUC
rnacentral:rRNA from 1 species